rnacentral:lncRNA from 1 species
AACUGGAGAUGAAGCAGGUUCUGCUGCAGCCGCUGGCAGAGCUUCCUGAGUCCACUUGCUGUGAGCUGCUGAGGACACUGAGACAGCUGCUGGAGGACGGAGACGCUCUGUCCCAGCUGGAGCAGACGCUGGAUCGGUGCAGUGACGGAGCGUCAGUGCGUCCACAGUCACAGCUCGUCGCCUCCUUCAUGGACCUCCUUGAUGCCUCCACGGCUCUGAAAGACGCCGCCCACCUGCUGGUCAGCGCCAUGGACAGUGAGUCAGCUGACCUAUUAGCACGAGCUUUACUGGUGUGUCCGUUUACUGACGCCUCUUUGGUUCAGCUCUGCCAGACGGAGCGGCGCUGCUGCUGACCGCCUGCAGCCAGGAAACCCUGACAGUCCUCACCCAGCUGGUGGACAGUCUGAAGCGGCGUGGUGAGGCCAGCCUCCCAGAGUCGGUGCCCCUCGAUCUGCAGCAGGACGGUGCGCUGCGCUGGGCAGCGGAGCUCCUCUGUUCCAGCCAUCAGAUGCUGAG